rnacentral:lncRNA from 1 species
UGUACCAGACACCAUCCCCUGCUCUCUGACUUCAGAGAAACUCUCACUGAUUAGGAUUCAGUACGAAAUUCCUCCAGAGUACGAGCUAGAGCUUCCCGGGCCAACUGGCCGGGUCAGCGCUCCUCCCCCCGACUGCUUCUGUUUAUACCAAGAGGCUUUCCACGUCGGACUUCGACUUCGACUUCCGCCCUUUGUCAUCGCUCUC